GAUGAACGCUGGCGGUAUGCUUAACACAUGCCAGUCGAACGGACUCUUCGGAGUUAGUGGCGGACGGGUGAGUAACGCGUGAGAAUCUGGCUUUGGGUUCGGGACAACCACUGGAAACGGUGGCUAAUACCGGAUGUGCCGAGAGGUAAAAGAGAAAUUGCCUGAAGAUGAGCUCGCGUCUGAUUAGCUAGUUGGUGAGGUAAAGGCUCACCAAGGCAGCGAUCAGUAGCUGGUCUGAGAGGAUGACCAGCCACACUGGGACUGAGACACGGCCCAGACUCCUACGGGAGGCAGCAGUGGGGAAUUUUCCGCAAUGGGCGAAAGCCUGACGGAGCAAUACCGCGUGAGGGAAGAAGGCUCUUGGGUUGUAAACCUCUUUUCUUAGGGAAGAACAAAAUGACGGUACCUAAGGAAUCAGCAUCGGCUAACUCCGUGC
rnacentral:rRNA from 1 species